rnacentral:rRNA from 1 species
GACGAACGCUGGCGGCGUGCUUAACACAUGCAAGUCGAACGAAGAGCGAUGGAAGCUUGCUUCUAUCAAUCUUAGUGGCGAACGGGUGAGUAACGCGUAAUCAACCUGCCCUUCAGAGGGGGACAACAGUUGGAAACGACUGCUAAUGCCGCAUACGAUCUGACCUCGGCAUCGAGGAUAGAUGAAAGGUGGCCUCUAUUUAUAAGCUAUCACUGAAGGAGGGGAUUGCGUCUGAUUAGCUAGUUGGAGGGGUAACGGCCCACCAAGGCGAUGAUCAGUAGCCGGUCUGAGAGGAUGAACAGCCACAUUGGGACGGAGACACGGCCCAGACUCCUACGGGAGGCAGCAGUGGGGAAUCUUCCGCAAUGGACGAAAGUCUGACGGAGCAACGCCGCGUGAGUGAUGACGGCCUUCGGGUUGUAAAGCUCUGUUAAUCGGGACGAAAGGCCUUCUUGCGAAUAGUUAGAAGGAUUGACGGUACCGGAAUAGAAAGCCACGGCUAACUACGUG